GAUGAACGCUGGCGGCGUGCCUAAUACAUGCAAGUCGAGCGAACAGAUAAGGCGCUUGCUCCUUUGACGUUAGCGGCGGACGGGUGAGUAACACGUGGGUCACCUACCUAUAAGACUGGGAUAACUUCGGGAAACCGGAGCUAAUACCGGAUAACAUUUGGAACCGCAUGGUUCUAAAGUGAAAGAUGGUUUUGCUAUCACUUAUAGAUGGACCCGCGCCGUAUUAGCUAGUUGGUAGGGUAACGGCUUACCAAGGCGACGAUACGUAGCCGAACUGAGAGGGGGAUCGGCCACACUGGAACUGGGACACGGUCCAUACGCCUACGGGAGGCAGCAGUAGGGAAUGUGCCGCAAUGGGCGAAAGCCUGACGGAGCAACGCCGCGUGAGUGAUGAAGGGUUUCGGUUCGUAAAACUCUGUUAUUAGGGAAGAACAAAUGUGUAAGUAACUGUGGACGUCUUGACGGUACCUAAUCAGAAAGCCACGGCUAACUACGUG
rnacentral:rRNA from 1 species